CCCUUCUCUCUUCUACUCUUCCAGCUGUGGCGCCGCAGCGCGCUCGUUCGUGCUCGCCCCGACGCCCUCCCCUGGUAGCUUCCACAUUUGUUGUGCUCGCACGAAGCCCCACCGUCCUCCCGCGCGUCGCCGUAGAGCUCCAACCAGAACCAAAAAAAGCUGCAAUCGGCGCAUCGCCGUCGAUGCUGAGCGGAAGCGGCAGCCGAGCGUGCGUGCUACCACGGGGCGUGGAAAAGCUGCAUCCGGCUGACGGGGAAGCUGCUACCGGCACUCGCAGAAGCUGCGAUGACGACGACCCGCAAGAUGGCGACGUGCUGGAACCGGGGAAGCGGGAUGCUGGAACCAGCGAAGUUUUUUGCUGCCACCGGUGAUGAGAGAUUGGAGGAUGCCAAAGUGCAUGCUAGCAAGCAGUCUUCUCCCACUGUGAUGCAAUCGUCGGAAAUUUGUUGUGGUGAUGGCAUGGCACGUGAUACAGGAAGUCUUGAGUCAUUUGGAAGAUGGAGAUGCAGACUGCCGUGAUUGGUCUGCUUGUCAUCGAUGUGAGCCGUAAAUGUGGUCACUCGACGGUUGUGAUUUGUGAAGCUGCCAUGCUGCACAUGUAAUGGCAGCCUACAUUCAUCCUUCCAUGCACAGUUACUCAAUAGAGGACAAAUUGGAGGACUGGUCCAAUUGACAGGCACUCUUUACAUCGGUGGGUUGUGUGUCUACAACUAGCACCGUGAUGGCCAAGUGUGCCACUACUGGAGCCGCCAAGGAAGAUAAUACAUCGUUGUCUGCAGUCCGAUUGUAGACUGCACUGUGGAGAAGCUAGCUCUAAAUUAUUUGUUGAAAUUAGUAUGUGUGCUAACCGUGUUUGUUUGAUGGCGUUGGCACUUGGCAAUGAGCCAACCUUAGUAUGUUUACGGCAAAGCCAUGCAAAAGUGCACUGAAACAAUGAGACCAAUGUGAUGCCUUACAGGCAAAACAAGCAUGGAAGCAUGACCUUUGGUGAA